rnacentral:lncRNA from 1 species
CAAGAAUACAAGAAAAUUGAACUUUUUCAGCUCACACUGGACUUUAAAUAUCUGCUGCCAGUCAGAACAUUCCUUGUGACAGGAUUCCACUUACCAAAUGCUCUGCAAUCCAAGGACUGUGCCAGUUUCCAAUCAUAGGAAAAGGAAUAUAACACAGAAGCUAUCAUCUUCUACAGAUGACUACAAUCUUAACAUACCUGUGGAAAAUUUUGGAGAAGAAAGCUGCUUGUAGAGCAUUUCUUUGCAGUGACCUGUGUCAGAGCAGAAGGAAAAUACAUGCUCUCAGUGGUUCAGAGUACUACAAUAAUGAGAAGAUGGUGCACACUACAGCCACUACAUCUUGAUGGUUUCUCUGGCACAAGCUUCUAGCAGGUUAACAAAGUAUCACAGAGGAUGCUUGUCUGUAUUUGGGCUUCUCUCCCCAGUGUGCAGAAGAACAGGGUAAAAUAGAGAGGCUGAGCACCACUGUCAUGUUGUAAUGCCCUCUUUUUCUUUGCUAACUAGGAGUGGAGCAAAUAGGUGCAAGAGGCUAAUCUUGGAAAUAGAGUAAAAGGAAAGAGUGGUCCACAGUUACAAGGAAAAUUAAUAUUUUCAUUGCAUGAAUUUUGAAUUUUUUUUCCCUAAAUUUUCUCCAAAACACAUCACACCUCAAAUACAAAUGAAGACAAACUGCAGAGAGAUUCUAUAGACUUUCAGUCUAAAUCCAGGCACUGACUUCCAAGCAUCAGUUAGCUACCAGACAUCCAGCUGCAUCAGUCUCACCAAACAUGGUUAGAAAAAUAAAGCCUUUAAUAGCUCAGUGUCA